rnacentral:lncRNA from 1 species
AGGACAAGGGGACGGACACUAAGAAGGGGAUGUAUUGUCUGCGUGUGUUGCCUUCACACCUUUGAAUUCUAAAGGGAUGGCAGGGGCAGCUAACAGAGAGCAGAGAGGAGGCAUCCGGAAUCCCAUGUGGCACAUUUAUGUCAACUGCAUGUCAAUCAGAUGCAAGUGAAGACUAAGCAGUUCCAGCACGGGAACCUCUGAAAAUCAAGACCACAUCAUCCUGAUGUUUUGGCAUUUUGCCCAUUGCCUCAGCAUGUGCUUUUAAAGAGAGCUCUCUAUUGCCGUCUCAUGGUGAAUGAGUGAAUGGCUGGGAUUAGGAGACAAAACUGGCUACCACCACUAAGCAGUGGAGAGUUCUGUGGCCUCCCGAGUAAAAGCUAGCUACCGCUUUUCCUCUCACAAAGCAAGCAAGGAUGUAGUCAAGAAAACAAGGGCACUGCAGUUGUCCUGAAAAUAGGAGCCUGAGAUGCCUAGAGCAGGAGGAGAUGCUUGGGCAAUGUCUGAUCCUCUGCAGACUUCAGCCUUAUGGGGACUGGAAGAGAUGUGGGGAAGCCCCUCCCAAGAAUUUUCAAGGGACACACAGGGCCUGGACAAGCCUCACUUUACAACUUAAUCAACCAAAGUGAUAUGAGCAACAAUGCUUUGCCUGGUAGUUAUGUAAGAUGAAAGGAGUCUCAAAGUCGAAUGAAACUGUAUUAUUCAGAUGCUUUCAUUUACUCUAAAGACAUCCUACUAUAUAGGUUAUGCAUGAAUUUCUUCCAUUUUCAGGAGUAAGGCACAGUAACCAAAAGUCAUCAAUGUUUUAUAAACUGUGACUAAUCUCUAUGUAUAGUCUCAUAGUCUCUCUCUCUCUUUUCCUAACUGUUCAGAAUUUUUUGUAUUGGCUGAUAUUUGGCUGCUGCUCUUCAGUACUAUCAUUAUUAUUUUUAAGAUCACUUGAGACCCUGGCACGCCGUGGGGUUUAGGAUUGAUAGGGUUAUUAGGGAAGCCUGCUCUCCCAAACUUUUAGAUUGCUUUGAAAUAUUUUGCUGGAAAAUGGCAACAAAUAAAUCUGAAGCAAGCUCUGCCUUCCAGAAGCAGCAGCAUGGUGUGUUUCCAGGGUCCUGUUGGCUUUUACUGAGCUGCUGCCACCCAAAAAUAGUGGUGGGCUCAUAAAUGUUUAGCAAAUCAUGAUAAUGAACGUGGCCAGGACAAACAUAGCCAGUGUGUGUUUUUUUAAUCAUGCCUCAUUUAGUACAAAGAUGACUCUUGGAUGUUUUGGCAAAUUAAUUUGUAUUGCACUUCAGAGAAGGGAGAAAGCAGCUGGGCUCUAGCCCGCAGAGCUGCACUGGCUGUAUCUGCUAAUAAAGUUGCUGUUGCCACCGCCUCCUGUGGAAGCACAAAUGGAACGUAAGGCACAGGGAAUUCUCUGCCGCUUCCCUCCAGGGUUUUAGUUGAAUCCAUGUCAGUCCUUCUCUAGUGGUUCCAAGAAUUCCCACUGUGCUUCGUCAGCAACUCUAAUGCAGCAACCGAGCAACCAUUUCCAAAUGAAUCAUCCUCUACCAUUUAUGAAUCAGUCACAAUGCCACCUUCUUUGAAAUCUGAUUAAGUACUGCCGGAUAUUUGUACAAUUCAAAUGUGAGUCCUCCCUCCUCACUGAUGGAUAUUUUGUGUAAUCUGUCAUGAAAAGUCUUACGUGGCCUAGGUCUUUGCUAGGUACUGAUAUAAAGACAGUGGUCUGAGAGAAAUCCACAUAGGAAAACAUUUCCAAGUUUAGUUACUUGUCGAGGAAAACAUCAGAUGGCAAGUGGAAGGGGGAGAGGUAUUAGGGACAUAAACACAUUGGAAAUCUUCCCCAAAGUUUGUCAUUCUCUGCAGGAGUGGCUGCCCUUACCCCAAGCCUCUUCAUCACUGAAUCAUACCCCAACAGCUAGCACACAUGAGCCACCAGGUUUUCCUUUCUUUCUCUAAACUGCUUCCCCCUACCCCUUUUUUUUCCAUUGCCCUUCAGUCUUUUGAAAAAAAUAAAAAUAUGUAUAUUUAAAA